rnacentral:rRNA from 1 species
UACGAAGGGGGCUAGCGUUGUUCGGAAUUACUGGGCGUAAAGCGCGCGCAGGCGGUUCUCCAAGUCAGUGGUGAAAGCCCGGAGCUCAACUCCGGAACUGCCAUUGAAACUAUUGAACUUGAGGACGAGAGAGGUGAGUGGAAUUCCCAGUGUAGAGGUGAAAUUCGUAGAUAUUGGGAAGAACACCGGUGGCGAAGGCGGCGACCUGGUCCGACACUGACGCUGAGGCGCGAAAGCGUGGGGAGCAAACAGGAU